CUACCGACAAUGGUCGGAGAAGGGACAAACCACAAACCGGCGACAAGGUGUAGGGCGCCCAAGGCUCAUCGAUGCGCCAGGGCAGCGAAUGCUAUCCCGUCUGGUCAGAACCGACAGAAGGUCUACUGUGGCACAAGUCUCAGAACAUUUUAAUGACGGUUACGGGAGGAAUGUGUCAUUACACACAGUGCAUCGCACCUUGCUGCGUAUGGGACUGCGUAGACGCAGCCCGGACGGAGUCCCCCUGAUGACGCCUGACCACUGUCGAAAGCGCCUACAAUGGGCGCGUGAGCGUCGGAACUGGACCUUGGAGCAGUGGAAAAAGGUCGCCUGGUCCGAUGAGUCCCAUUUUCUUUUACAUCACGUGGACGGCCGUGUACGUGUGCGCCGUUUGCCUGGGGAAGUGAUAGCACCCGAAUGUACUGUGGAAAGAGAACAAGUCGGUGGAGGGAGUGUAAUGCUCUGGGCAACGUUCUGCUGGGAAACCUUGGGUCCGGGCAUUCACGUGGACGUCAAUUUGACAGUGCCAGGAGGAGUGACGACUGCUCACCAGGUCCCGACAGUUUCCCAAUCCGCGUACUCACCCCCUAUGCCGGUCACCCCAGAAUUGGGGCCCUCCACCCCCCCACAGAUGCUCCUGGCCCAGAGCCUACCCCCACCCACCACGCACAGUACUCCUGCUAUGCUAGUCUUACCCCCAACACAGCCCACUGCCAAGAAAAAAGGAGUGAAGCGGAAAGCAGACACCACCACCCCGACCGCCAUGCCCGUCACCAUGGGCGUGGGUGGGAUCGGCAUGGUGGGAGGGCACGACUCCCCAUUGACCCUCACCUCUCUGGGGGUAGACCAGGGACUGGGAAUGGGCCGCGGGAGGGGCAUCGUGGGCGCCAAAGCACCGGCGGGGAGACAGGGAGUGAGCGGGUGCCCAAUCAAGCCUCCAAAGAAAGACCUGCCGGACUCCGUCCAGCUCCAGCCAGUCCGGCGUGGCAAACUGAGCCAGCAGCUGCGUUACUGCAAAGGGGUCCUCAAAGAGCUGCUGUCCAAGAAACACGCGGCGUAUGCCUGGCCCUUCUACAAGCCAGUGGACGUCUCCAUGCUGGGCCUCCACGACUACCACGACAUCAUCAAGCAGCCCAUGGACCUCAGCACCAUCAGGAGGAAAAUGGACGGUCGAGAGUACAGGGAUGCCCUGCAGUUUGCUGCUGACGUCCAGCUCAUGUACUCCAACUGCUACAAGUACAACCCCCCUGACCAUGACAUGGUGGCAAUGGCACGCAAACUACAGGAUGUCUUUGAGUUCUGCUUUGCCAAGAUGCCUGACGAGCCUCCGGCCCCUACUGCUUCUAUGGGUGGACACUCCUCGUCUUCCUCCUCUUCAUUGUCCUCAGAGAGCGACCCAAGCAGGGAGAGCGACAGCGAGAGCAGCCCCAGCUCGAACAGCGAGGAGGAGCGAGCACACCGCCUGGCUGAGUUACAGGAACAGGUGUGUACUCAGCUGAAAGCAGUUCACGAGCAGCUGGCAGCCCUCUCCCAGGCCCCCAUCGUCAAGCCCAAGCGGAAGAAAAACAAAAAGGAAAAGAAGAAGUGGAAGCCAGACAAGGACCAGGGAACCCGGAUCCCCAUGGUAGAGGACGUACCCAUCCGACCGCCCAAAAUAUCAGAGGUCACCAAGGUCCCCCAAGAUCCCCAAACCUGUCAAGCCUCUGAAGACGCAGAAGACCAAAAACAACAAAGGGGGCUUAACGCAUGACAAGAAGGGUUCAGCAAGAAGAGCAACAAGAGCAAAAUGGAGCCUAAAGGGAGCAUAUCCAAAGAGAAUUGAAUUGGACCCAGGAUCGAACCUUGAGGUCCAUCUAGAAGUCUCAGGUGGUGACCCUGAACAUGCACCAGAUGAGCUCCGCCUCCAUGCUCCCCCACUACGACUCGGAGGACGAGGUGUCGCCCAUGAGCUACGACGAGAAGCACCAGCUCAGCCUGGACAUCAACAAGCUACCGGGGGAGAAGCUGGGCCACGCUCCUUUAGAUGUUUAGUAAGAUUAAAAUCUAGUCUAAAUUAUAUGCACAAAUAAAAUAAAAAGUGAACUGUGUGUUGGAAGAACAUAAAACCUGUGUGUUGUUCUCUACCUUGAUGUAACCAUCUGAAGGAAGCACCAACUUGUAUACAGAUGAUAAUGUUUUUGGAAAUGUUCCCUUUCUUUUUGAGAGUAUUAUUGAAGUGUGUUUACUAGAGCAUAUAUUGAUGCUUUUUAACUAAUUCAUAAAUAAAAAGCAAUUUAAGUCCACGUG